ACAAGAAAAAUAUUUGGAAUCACUCUGUACAUGUCUCACAAAUAUUUUUUAAAUUUACGUCAUUGCACUGGAAAACCAGCAGAUAUUUACUGACCCACUGAGUACGUGUAUCAAAUGGAACCUGAAUGUUGACUGAGGAGAAAGAUGGGACCAACAGGAAGAAGAGCAAGGAAGCGGGUUCCCAAAGUGUUGCAAUCUGUUGCCUCUGACAGUCCCGUGCUUGAAUGAAACCAGAACACAGUGCGAAACAUGGAUAAACUAUCUAUUUCUGAACUGUUCGAGGUCAUCAAACAAAACCAAAAAGCGUCUCACAAAAUUUCCAUCUGGAAGCAUGAAUUGGCUGAGCUGGAUGCACAAACCCUGUCAAGCCUUCCCUUAAGUCUCGCCAGGAUAUUAACUUUGAAAUAAAGCCUAGUUUUUCUGA